AUAAGCUGCUUUUUUCCUUGAGAGCAAUUAAUUGGUUCCCACUGCCAUUUGCAGCCAUACUAGAAAAUGGGGAGUGUGGUGCUUCUUUGGAUGUGUAGGUGCAAUGUUCAUGGUCUCCUGGCACCUUCCCCCAGCUGCCAAACACGCAACUAAAGGAGGAUGCAUCUUUGACAGCAGGAUGGGGAAAACUGAGGAUAUUUGUCAUCACCACUGCCAGUCUCAGCAAGGACCCAGGCCAAGGACUAUGCUUGCUAGAAGGCAUUGAAGAGAUCUCAUAUUCCCAUUCCCAGAGAAUGGAAAGCAUCACCUCAAUCUCCACACCUGACUCUGGAAAAGAUACUGUUCUGUUCUACAUCCUAAUUAUUUUAUUAUCUUCAUGGAACUCGCAUCAAAAGAAGUGUCCUUCCAUGGCCUCCACGUUAGUUGGACCAGAUCUGGGAAUUGACCCAAGAAGAACUAUAAGCUCUUGCUAUCAACUCUUGGAUCCUCGGUACCUGCAGCUCCAGGAGAUGGGAGCAUCACAAACUGCUGUGCUCAGUGGGAUGCUGAGCAGUCACUCAGUGAUUGAAGUAUGCUACCUUGAUCCCAGUUCCAUGGCAAUCUUCCCAGUGAAGCAGGUGACUUUCACUGUCCUCUUCCCAAGAGCAAAUAACCCCCAGAUGCUUUGCUGUGCCUGGUGAAACGGAGUCCUGUUGUGGCCCUAAUGGUGUCAUCACCCGUAGUUACCUGAGACUUGUUAGGUCACCAGCACAGACAGCUGCAAGCAAUGGACUUUUUGGGGUCGAGCACAUGGAGGACACAGAUUCACCCCCUGGCCCACCACCUCCCUGCCCCCAGGCUCACACUGCAGCUGUCACCAUACAAUUCCAACCAGGAAUGUACUGAACCUCACUUCCACGUUCCCCUGCGCUGCCCCAGGCUUCAAUACGCACGGCCACAACUUUUCCUGGACUCGCUGUCCCUUUGCCAGAGAGCAUGCUCUACUUUCAUCUCCAGUUCUAAGCAUUCGAAGCUGUAAUUACCAGAAGAAUUUGAUGCAGAGCGCAUCCAGGAAUACGAAUCAAAGCUUUUGCUCAGGCAGGCUGAGAGCUGGUAAUUACAGAGAGGGAAGCUCAGUGCUUUGCAGCAACUCCAGCUGCAUGGAGGGGAGCUGACCUCCAAACACAUCUGAGGCGCUUCGUUAUCAGAGAUGGAGGGAGAUGGGAUGGAGCACAGAGGGAUGGGUCGUAAAUUUCAGCUGCCAAGUGAGGGAGAUCCAGAUGGUACUCACCAAUAAUUGCUCUGAGGUCUUUGCCCAUCACUUCUGUGCUCUCCAGGCACAGCUUUUUCAAGCUGCUUUUGGGAAGCGGAAUUGGAAGAAGUUUCAGCAACCUUGUCAUUCCAAGGUUAAAAAUGUCAACAUCUGACAAUAUAACAGAAGUCAUGAAAGUGCUCUGGAAGUAUACUAUUGCAUGUUUUUUCUUCUUUUUUCUGCUUUUUUUUUUUUUCUUCUUUUUUUUCUGUGUAAUUUAUGACAUAAGAAUAAAGGAAUAUUUCACUUCUAAUAAGAAUAUUCU
ensembl:lncRNA